rnacentral:antisense_RNA from 1 species
CGUCAUGACAGUUGUACGUGGGAGGCCUCCGGCCUGCCGGGCUCACCAUACCCCCUGGUCUUCCACCCCGCGUACAACUGUCGCCCUA